rnacentral:rRNA from 1 species
UCAUCUUCGGGGGUAGAGCACUGUUUCGGCUAGGGGGUCAUCCCGACUUACCAACCCGAUGCAAACUACGAAUACCGAAGAAUGUUAUCACGGGAGACACACGGCGGGUGCUAACGUCCGUCGUGAAGAGGGAAACAACCCAGACCGCCAGCUAAGGUCCCAAAGUCAUGGUUAAGUGGGAAACGAUGUGGGAAGGCACAGACAGCCAGGAUGUUGGCUUAGAAGCAGCCAUCAUUUAAAGAAAGCGUAAUAGCUCACUGGUCGAGUCGGCCUGCGCGGAAGAUGUAACGGGGCUAAACCAUGCACCGAAGCUGCGGCAGCGACACUAUGUGUUGUUGGGUAGGGGAGCGUUCUGUAAGCCUGCGAAGGUGACCUGUGAGGGUUGCUGGAGGUAUCAGAAGUGCGAAUGCUGACAUAAGUAACGAUAAAGCGGGUGAAAAGCCCGCUCGCCGGAAGACCAAGGGUUCCUGUCCAACGUUAAUCGGGGCAGGGUGAGUCGACCCCUAAGGCGAGGCCGAAAGGCGUAGUCGAUGGGAAACAGGUUAAUAUUCCUGUACUUGGUGUUACUGCGAAGGGGGGACGGAGAAGGCUAUGUUAGCCGGGCGACGGUUGUCCCGGUUUAAGCAUGUAGGCUGGUUAUCCAGGCAAAUCCGGAUAAUCAAGGCUGAGGUGUGAUGACGAGGCACUACGGUGCUGAAGUAACAAAUGCCCUGCUUCCAGGAAAAGCCUCUAAGCAUCAGGUAACAUCAAAUCGUACCCCAAACCGACACAGGUGGUCAGGUAGAGAAUACCAAGGCGCUUGAGAGAACUCGGGUGAAGGAACUAGGCAAAAUGGUGCCGUAACUUCGGGAGAAGGCACGCUGGUGUGUAGGUGAAGUCCCUGCGGAUGGAGCUGAGACCAGUCGAAGAUACCAGCUGGCUGCAACUGUUUAUUAAAAACACAGCACUGUGCAAACACGAAAGU